UUUAUGUCCAAUUCAUCCACACAAGUACCCCAUCCACACAAGUAACAGGACACCACUGAAGAAUCAAUAACUGAUUCGUCCCACACUCCAGCUAGAGUCCACUAAUCUAAACAAUGGACACUAUUGAUUCAUCAACGCCAGAAUCACGCCACCCUCAAGAAAUCGAUCCGUUAGAAGCAUGCCAGUCAUGAGGACCAAUCAGAGCUAGUCAUAAAACCAAGGAGUAUCACAUUCCUAGCUCACUCAUGUAAUGCAACACCGAACGCCAGCAGCGGAUGCCUUUGAUCAAAAGCCGACGCAUCCCCAAACUUCGGUCCAGGCACGUGUAGUGGCGCCUGUCCAACCAAAAAUAUCGGAUAACCGUCCCACGGUUUCCCCUUCCCUUAGACAUGCACCUUGCACCUUUUGGGCAGUUACGCGCAAGAAAAAAAAAUGACAUAAGUUAACAGCGGCUACUGUCAAGGUGUGGUGAGAAAAGGGGAAUGAGAGAACCAAGGGCUCAAGCGGAAGGAGAGUGGCUUGGGCAUGUUCUUUCCAAUUUUACUCGCGAUCCCAGACGGACGUCUGAGGAAAAUACUCAAGUAGUGCAGUGAAAGGAAAAAUCCUAACCUCGACCGUAAUUACCGCGUGUCCCUCGUGGCUAAGAUCUAGUCAAAAGAUCAGCCGACCAUUCCUACGUUUAUUAAGCGAAGGCCGAACCCAUCGGGCUUGGCCGUACGUAAUACCGUACGAAACGCCGGUCGUAGUGCCGUAAGCCGUACCCACUACAGUCUCGUCACCUUGCCACACAUAUAUGUAAGUACCCAUCGUACCGAUCGACUAAUGUAUGUGUUAGCCGUCUUCGACCCCAAAUCUUCUUUCGGCGUGGCGUCUGCAUACAUGUGAGCAUCACUGUAUUUACCGCAGGGUGUACCGGCGUGGGUCCACACACAUACAAGCCUUGCUCGGCCUACACCAGUGAAAAACGGUCGAUGGGCUUAUAUCUACGCGUGCGUGGCGUAUGUAUGUGUGAAGUUUACGAUUCUCUCUUCAGAGACUUUCGUCAUUGCUACGUCGCUUACGCCACCCGCAUACGAACAGUAACGCUAAAGGAGAAGACAAUUACCGGUGCCGUAAUACUGUUUGCUUUGCUGAUGAAGUCAUUCGGUGUCUCGAUCAUGAUGGCUAUGCCCAUGCAUUUCUUCAUAUUGGAAUAAUACUUUGGAACCCCACUAUUGUACUGACCCUAGGAUUAACAUUAAAAGUUAAAUUCGUGUGAUUCGGUUUGUUUGGAUUAUCAUAAAGAAAUGUGCAGCUAGAAGGAAAGGAACUACUCUGACACAUUGAUAUUUACAAGUUUUCAGCCACCCUCAUCGACCACAUGGAAGCGCUUUCAUCGUUGGAUUUGAUCAUAAUGUGAGUGAUAACCUGUGAACGUCUGCUAUAUGUGAAUUCAAAAUUUUACGCAAGUCGAAGCAACAUUAAAGCUUCCAUGCCUCGACCGUAAACUUCCCAGCCGUACUGUAACGCUGACCAAUCCAAUUGUUCACGUGUUUGUUUUGUUCUGAUCUUUCGCAAGCAAUGUAACUUUCUGCAAUUCCGAAUCUAUCGACAACCGAACUUAUGAUUGGGAUUACCCCACAAGCAAUUGCUGUGCACUUUAAAGAUGCAUCCAUCCGUCCCUUGUUUUUGCAUUUAAACUGAAAACCAUUCGAAUAUAUUUCUAUUUGUGUGACGUAAUUACCAUUAUUCCUGAAUAUACUCUUUAUAAUUAGUUGACCCUAGUCUAAUAAGAUCUUUCAUCAUGAUAUAUUUAUAUAUAUAUGUAAUUAAUCUUAAUUGCAGCUUAUUUGAACAUAUUAUCCUUAUUACUUUAGUAGCCUUUAUAUAUAUCUACCCACUUAGCAGCCUGUAGAGAGAGCUUGUAGAAAAGUUUAAUGAAUAAACUGUUUGUAAUGAA